CGAGCUGCUUCCGCGGCGA
rnacentral:snRNA from 1 species